rnacentral:tRNA from 1 species
UGGGGUGUAGCCAAGCGGUAAGGCGGCGGGUUUUGGUCCCGUUAUCCGAGGGUUCGAAUCCUUCCACCCCAG